AAUGAACGUUGGCGGCGUGGAUUAGGCAUGCGAGUCGUGCGAGAACCGUAGCAAUACGGGGACAGCGGCGAAAGGGAGAGGAAUACGCGGGUACCUACCCUCGGAUCUGGGAUAGCUACGGGAAACUGUAGGUAAUACCAGAUAAUGUCUCCGGACCAAAGGUGUGAUUCCGUCCGGGGAGGGGCCCACGUCCUGAUUAGCUAGUUGGUGAGGUAACGGCUCACCAAGGCGAAGAUGGGUACGGGAUGUGAGAGCAUGGUCCCGCGCAUUGGGACUGAGACACUGCCCAGACACCGACGGGUGGCUGCAGUCGAGAAUCUUCGGCAAUGGGGGAAACCCUGACCGAGCGACGCCGCGUGCGAGAUGAAGGCCUUCGGGUUGUAAAUCGCUGUCAGUGGGGAGGAAGUAUUGGUGGGUUCUCCUGCCAAUUUGACCUAUCCGCAGAGGAAGGACGGACUAAGUUCGUGCCAGCAGCCGCGGUAACAC
rnacentral:rRNA from 1 species